UCCCAGGGCGAGGCUCAGCCAUUGCACUCCGGCUGUGCUGACCCCUGCGAUUUCCCCAAAUGUGGGAAACUCGACUGCAUAAUUUGUGGUAGUGGGGGACUGCGUUCGCGCUUUCCCCUGA
rnacentral:snRNA from 1 species